rnacentral:snoRNA from 1 species
AUGCAUGGGGGUCUUGUGUGCAAUGGCUGCAAACAGCAGCCUUCUGGGUACUGUAAUGAACCUAUUGCCUGAAUAGAUUAACCUAAGGGACCUUGGAGACAGCC